rnacentral:SRP_RNA from 1 species
GCCAGGUGUGGUGAUGCACACCUGUAAUCCCAGCUACUCAGGAGGCUGAGACAUGAGAAUUGCUUGAACCUAGGAGGCAGAGGUUGCAGUGAGCUGAGAUCAUGCCACUGCCCUCCAGCCUGGGUGACAGAGCAAGACUCUGUCUCAA